rnacentral:rRNA from 1 species
AUUGAACGCUGGCGGCAUGCCUUACACAUGCAAGUCGAACGGCAGCACGGGGCAACCUGGUGGCGAGUGGCGAACGGGUGAGUAAUGCAUCGGAACGUACCUUUCAGUGGGGGAUAACGUAGCGAAAGUUACGCUAAUACCGCAUAUUCUGUGAGCAGGAAAGCAGGGGAUCGCAAGACCUUGCGCUGAUUGAGCGGCCGAUGUCAGAUUAGCUAGUUGGUGAGGUAAAGGCUCACCAAGGCGACGAUCUGUAGCGGGUCUGAGAGGAUGAUCCGCCACACUGGAACUGAGACACGGUCCAGACUCCUACGGGAAGCAGCAGUGGGGAAUUCUGGACAAUGGGGGCAACCCUGAUCCAGCCAUGCCGCGUGAGUGAAGAAGGCCUUCGGGUUGUAAAGCUCUUUCGGCCGGGAAGAAAUCGCACGGGCUAAUACCCUGUGUGGAUGACGGUACCGGAAUAAGAAGCACCGGCUAACUACGUGCCAGCCGCCGCCGUAAGAC